rfam:Streptobacillus moniliformis DSM 12112, complete genome.
AAUAAUCAUUUGAACAAACUAAAGACAGUAGGUAUAAAGUAAAUCCUACCGAGGUGAGUUCUGAGUAUAAUACAUAUACACAAGGUAUAUACUUUUAACCUCGCCCACUAAUAUAGUGGUUUUUUUAUUUACUA